AAGACAAAGUCACACAGUGUACCGAGGGGAGGGGGCGGCUAAGUUAGCUGGUGGCUAACAGCAGAGGCCAGUUAGCGUAACGUUAACACAUUUCAUAACUUCAGCGUCACUGUUAGCAUUAGCGAAGCAGGUCAUGUAAUGGUGAAGGUGGUCAGCGGAGUUGCCUCAUGCUUACAAAUCCGUCAUUUCAAACCAAGCAAACUUGAAGUACGUCUUGGAGUUGCGGAAGAGAUAAGCCAGGUUGUUGUGCCUGCUGUUUGCCAUGACCAGAGUGCUUGUACUUCUGGUGUUCAAGUCAAAUCUGUAAAAUAUUAAUCAUAGGAACCAUGGAGUAUGUCAUCAUCAUCAUCAUAUCCUUCUCCUCCUGGAUCUGUGAUGGAUCUUCCUCCUGGUCUCUUCUGCUGCGGUGGAGCUUCUCCGGCUCUCCAGCUUCUGCAGGCUCCAUGAUUCCCGCCUGC